UACGUAGGGUGCAAGCGUUAAUCGGAAUUACUGGGCGUAAAGGGCUCGUAGGCGGCCCUCUCAGUCGGAUGUGAAAUCCCCAGGCUUAACCUGGGAACUGCAUCCGAUACUGGAUGGCUUGAAUCCGGGAGAGGGAUGCAGAAUUCCAGGUGUAGCGGUGAAAUGCGUAGAUAUCUGGAGGAAUACCGGUGGCGAAGGCGGCAUCCUGGACCGGCAUUGACGCUGAUGAGCGAAAGCUAGGGGAGCAAACGGG
rnacentral:rRNA from 1 species